rnacentral:rRNA from 1 species
AUGGUAGAGGUGCCGCUGCAGUCUGUCCUCGCGGAGCAGGCUGAGCUGCAAGACUGCCUGAUGAGAGUUGCGAGUUUUUUGGCGAGAGCUGAGGCGGUUCUGUGCAGGCUCACAAUCAUGCCAGAUUUGCCUCCGUUGGCCGAGAUCCAGGUUGAUUCCAAGGGCGAGGGUGAAACAGACCCCUAUGGUUGUUUCUCUCCUCGUGAUAGGCACAUCGCCGUGGUCGUCACUCCAGUGAUGCAAAUUAUUCCUGGGCUGCAGGAGCUAUGUGAGGCACCAUCUCCGCCUUUGUCGAUGGUGCUUCCAAAGGAGAUGGGCUUGGUGAUGCCCAUGAUGCCAUCUUUGCCAAUGUUGGCGGCAAGCCCGCCAUCCGUUCGUUGUGGACAAUGA